UUGACCUCCGAUCAGGUAGGGAUACCCGCUGAACUUAAGCAUAUCAAUAAG
rnacentral:rRNA from 1 species